AUACGAAGGGUGCAAGCGUUACUCGGAAUUACUGGGCGUAAAGCGUGCGUAGGUGGUUGUUUAAGUCUGUCGUGAAAGCCCUGGGCUCAACCUGGGAAUGGCGAUGGAAACUGGGCGACUAGAGUGUGGCAGAGGGUAGUGGAAUUCCUGGUGUAGCAGUGAAAUGCGUAGAGAUCAGGAGGAACAUCCGUGGCGAAGGCGACUGCCUGGGCCAACACUGACACUGAGGCACGAAAGCGUGGGGAGCAAACAGGAUUAGAUACCCUGGUAGUCCACGCUCUAAACGAUGCGAACUGGAUGUUGGGUGCAAUUUGGCACGCAGUAUCGAAGCUAACGCGUUAAGUUCGCCGCCUGGGGAGUACGGUCGCAAGACUGAAACUCAAAGGAAUUGACGGGG
rnacentral:rRNA from 1 species